rnacentral:rRNA from 1 species
UACAUCGGAACGUACCCUGUCGUGGGGGAUAACUAACCGAAAGGUUAGCUAAUACCGCAUACGACCUGAGGGUGAAAGCGGGGGAUCGCAAGACCUCGCGCGAUAGGAGCGGCCGAUGUCAGAUUAGCUAGUUGGUGAGGUAAAGGCUCACCAAGGCGACGAUCUGUAGCGGGUCUGAGAGGACGGCCCGCCACACUGGAACUGAGACACGGUCCAGACUCCUACGGGAGGCAGCAGUGGGGAAUUUUGGACAAUGGGCGCAAGCCUGAUCCAGCCAUUCCGCGUGAGUGAAGAAGGCCUUCGGGUUGUAAAGCUCUUUCGGCAGGAACGAAACGCUCUGGGCUAAUACCCCGGGGUAAUGACGGUACCUG